rnacentral:lncRNA from 1 species
AAAUGCUGAGGGGAGAGGCCUCGACUCAGGAGGUGUGGUCGGGGUGCACCGCUCCCUGAGCUGCUGCAAUGACGUCGUCUCAGGGCAUGUUUAAUGGAAGCUCCACGGUGGAAAAGGUAUUAAUGGCAGGUGAUCCAGAAGCUUUGUGGACCAUUGGCCUAAUUGAAGGCAGUAGCAGAAGAGUUGAGAGAGGACAGAUGUGGGAGAGGACCAGGUGACUGACUGAAUGAAAGGGGAGAAAUAUCCAGUGUGUGGCCUGGAGAUUACAAAGCCGUAAUCAGAAAUACUGGUCAACUGAUCUGUGUAUUUUGUGAUGACAAAGUACAGCAGCCACCAAGAGAAAACACAUGGCCAUAUUGAAAAGAGAGAGGAAAAGUAGAUUUUCUGAAGAGCCAGUGAAAAGGAAGUUUCAGGUCUGUUUGAACUCCCUUUGUUCCCCCACAUGUAAAAUUUCAUACAAUGCACAUUGGCAGGGAAUGCUAAUACCUGUUUGAUUUGGGGGCACUUCUGAGUGAACGAUCAUGGUUAUUAAAGAUAAUCAAUAGUGUUCAAGUGUGUAUACCACAUCAAUUGUAAUUUGAUUAAAGUAUCUCUUCUUAGAAUGAUUUCUUAUUGCACUGUAGAAUAGCAUGCAGAAAGAUUGACCUGCUGAUAAUUUGGCCAAAUUGCCCAUCCACAAGGAUACCCAGCUUCCAUUCCUUCUGGGGGGUUCAGGAUCUGUGAACCAAUUCAAGUCUGAAAAUUAGGGGAGGGCUAUGGCUCCCAUGGUGACACAAUCCAAGCUGUUUUAAAAGCUAUAUUCAGUGUUGUGUUGGUAAUAAUGAUCAAGUAGAACCAAAAUGAUCUGUCCAUCUAUUUCUGACCUAGGGACCCGUCAUCAAUUGCCCCUCCCCAAGAUCUGUGUAGGUCGGUUCAUUCUGAUGAGUACUUUGUCCUUGCUGCCUCUUAUUGUUACCAUAUUCACAUUGCCUCUGACCAAUUAUGUGCUCCUUUUUUGGCUUUUGCCAUCUUGGACAUCCCUGCAUCCCUAUAGAAAUCAAGGAGUCUGUUCCAGUGGAACAUCUCCCACCUCCAUCCCUGAACUACAGAGGUCAGCCAUCAAAGCACUUUGCAAGGAUGAUGGUCUCCUUUCCAUCAGUGUUAUUUCUUGAUAAAGAACAUGUCCUUUUGUCCUCCUAGCAGGCAUAAUUAGAAGGUGGAUGAGCAGGUUACAUGUGGGAAAUUCACUCCAACAUUCUUAUCACCCUAUAUCUUUGCUGUACUUCUACAUUAAACCAACAAAAAUCUGUAUCUCUAGUUCUGUCAUCAGCGGUCAUGGUUGAAUUCAGGUUUCACAAGUUCCAGCUGUUCAUGCCAGCACUACAUUCCUCCCUCACUGGAUCACCAUCCUCAGAUUUUAUUCCCACACUUGGUUCCUGGGAUUUUGCCAAUAUAAAUUAGCAAAAUAUUGCAGUCUUCUUGCUGUUUAUGAUUUCUGGAUUUGACUUUGCAACUUGUCCUCUGGGUGUGCCGAGAGUAUAUGUAGUUAAGGCUCUAAGGGCAAUGGGAAGUGGUAGGUGUGAGGCACAGAAAGAACUGGAACCCUUUUGCAAAUUAUCUGCCUCACAUGAGGCAAUCUUAGAGUUUCCAAGCAAAGUAGGACCAUGUCAUCAGAGAGAGAAAGAGGGGCUAGGGAUUGUAGGAUGGGGAUGUUUGUGUUUUUCCAAAUCUUACUACCGCAACUCAAAAUUUCCCACUCCUGGUCUAAUAAAUGUCCUAAAGUCUCAUAGGCAACAUGUAUACCAGCAAACUGAACCUAUGUUAAAAGUUAGCCACCUGCAGGAUUGUCACUGAUGCUCAUCUUCUGCUGUUUCAGCCUAGCAGCUUUAAGAAGCCAGAGAUACUUAUAACAGGCCACUCUAGAAACUCCCUAGUUUUCUGGCUUACAGUGCACUAAGCCAAGGAUUAAAGUUAUAUAUUCUGUUCCUCUUUAAUCAUUCCCCUGAAAUUUUUAGCAUGCAUAGUUAACAAAAUCUAUUCAUCCGUAUUACUGUAUUCCUCUUAAAUAACAUAAGGACCUUGGAAUGCUUUAACUUUGACUACCCUUCUCAUUUUAUAUGUUGUUCACUUCCUGUGUCAAAAAAAUCCACUCUUGGGCUCCCUGUUUAACUAAUUGUCUAAACUGAAAUUCUGAAAAAUUUCCUAAGGGAACUGUGUUUAUAUCAAAACUAAAUAGAAGAGGUGGCAGUUGGAACCAACUGUUCCAUUCUAAAGGAGGCCAAGGAGAAGAAAGGAAAGGUGAGUAGGGGCAGCAGAAGUGUGAGAUGGCAGGAGGGGCCCUGAGAACAGAGAGCAGAGAGGUCUUUGAUGUCAGAAACAGAACCCAGUGUACACCCAUUUGAAUUAUGAGAAAUCGACAUGAGAAUGAACUCUCCUACUUAGGCUUCUGAGGCAUUUCUUUGAAUUUAUUAGGAUUUAUGUGUCUUUUCACCUGCAUUCAGGGCUGCUGGGCACCGGGCAACAGGAGUCACCAUAUGGCCAUCCUAACAGUGGUCGCUAGCUCCGCUGUAGUUUGUUCUCCAAAGCACUCUACAAACUUAUAGUGGAAAUCAUCUCGGGAAUCAGUAGCAAUGUUCGUAUUGAUUUUGUUGUUGUUUUCAGUGUGAUUUUUUGGGCAUUAAAGUUUUAAUUACAUAAAGAUUGUAGUGAUUUUCUGUGUGUAUAUAAUCAGGUACACAUUGUGAGCAUAGAUGUAAGUGGAUGGCAUACAACAGUGGCAAAAGAGCUGAUGGAACAUAGAUAAAUCGUCCUAUUUUGGAACAAUUUAUAAAGGGAAACAGUGGCACCAUAUCAUUGUUAUAGGUGUUACUGCUAACUGUGUUCAUUUUAUAGAGAUUGGUAUUGUUUUAGUAUAAGUAGGCAUUCAUUUGGGGACUCCAGAAAAUAUAGGGGCAGCAAAUAUAGACUUUUCUAAAAGUCUUUUUUAGAGAAGACUUUUCGAAAAAAAAUCUUUAUUUAUUUGUCUUUUUAUCUUUUUAGGGCCGCACCUGUGGCAUGUGGAGGUUCCCAGGCUAGGGGUCUAAUCGGAGCUGUACUGUCAGCCUACACCAGAGCCACAGCAACACCAGAUCCUUAACCCACUGAGCGAGGCCAGGGAUUGGACCCAAAACCUCAUGGUUCCUAUUCAGAUUUGUUUUCAUUGUGCCACGAUGCAAACUCCCAUAUGGUAGUUUUAUAUUUAGUAUUCUAAGGUACCUCUAAGGUACAGUUUUCUAUGGUGAUACCAUAAAAAAACUUUAAUGCAAGGUCUAUUUUAAAGAUGGUGAGGAAAAAAAAUUUUUUUUUAAAAAAGAGUUCCCAUUGUGGUGUGGUGGAAACAAAUCCAACUUGUGUUGAGGAGGAUGUGGGUUCGAUCCUUGGCCUCACUCAGUGAGUCUGGGAUCCGGCAUUGCUGCAAGAUAUGGUAUAGGUUGCAGAUGCAGCUUGUAUCUCCACAUUGCUGUGACUGUGGCAUAAGCUUGCAGCUGUACCUCCAAUUGGACCCCUAGUCUGGAAACUUCCAUAUGCUGCAGGUGCAGCCCUAGAAAGCAAAAAUAAAUAAAUAAAUAAAUAAAAUAAAGAUUGUGAC